CCUACGGGAGGCAGCAGUAAGGAAUAUUGGUCAAUGGGGGGAACCCUGAACCAGCCAUGCCGCGUGCAGGAAGACGGCCCUACGGGUUGUAAACUGCUUUUGCCGGGGAAUAACCCCCUCUACGGGUAGAGGGCUGAAUGUACCCGGAGAAUAAGGAUCGGCUAACUCCGUGCCAGCAGCCGCGGUAAUACGGAGGAUCCGAGCGUUAUCCGGAAUUAUUGGGUUUAAAGGGUGCGUAGGCGGCCCGUUAAGUCAGUGGUGAAAGACGGUGGCUCAACCAUCGCAGUGCCGUUGAUACUGACGGGCUUGAAUGUAGAUGAGGCAGGCGGAAUGUGGCAAGUAGCGGUGAAAUGCAUAGAUAUGCCACAGAACACCGAUAGCGAAGGCAGCCUGCCGAGGUACGAUUGACGCUGAGGCACGAAAGCGUGGGGAUCGAACAGGAUUAGAUACCCUGGUAGUCCACGCCCUAAACGAUGAACACUCGAUGCCGGCGAUACAAUGUCGGUGUCCAAGCGAAAGCGUUAAGUGUUCCACCUGGGGAGUACGCCCGCAAGGGUGAAACUCAAAGGAAUUGACGG
rnacentral:rRNA from 1 species